rnacentral:rRNA from 1 species
AAAAAAGCCCUAUACCCGUUAAGGCAUGAUUACCUGUACCCGAAACCGACACAGGUGGGGUGGUAGAGAAUACCGAGGGGCGCGAGGUAACUCUCUCUAAGGAACUCGGCAAAAUGACCCCGUAACUUCGGGAGAAGGGGUGCCAGCGCGAGCUGGUCGCAGUGAAUAGGCCCAGGCGACUGUUUACCAAAAACACAGGUCUCCGCUAAGUCGCAAGACGAUGUAUGGGGGCUGACGCCUGCCCAGUGCCGGAAGGUUAAAGAAGUUGGUCAGCGCAAGCGAAGCUAACGACUGAAGCCCCGGUGAACGGCGGCCGUAACUAUAACGGUCCUAAGGUAGCGAAAUUCCUUGUCGGGUAAGUUCCGACCCGCACGAAAGGCGUAACGAUCUGGGCGCUGUCUCGGAGAGAGGCUCGGCGAAAUAGAAUUGCCUGUGAAGAUGCGGACUACGUGCACCCGGACAGAAAGACCCUAUGAAGCUUUACUGUAGCUUGGUAUUGUGCUCGGGCUCGCAAUGCGCAGGAUAGGUGGGAGGCUUUGAUCCAUUGCUUGUGGGUGAUGGUGAGCCACUGGUGAGAUACCACUCUUUGCGAGCUAGGGUUCUAACGGUUACCCGUCAUCCGGGAACCGGACAGUAUCUGGUGGGCAGUUUGACUGGGGCGGUCGCCUCCUAAAAGGUAACGGAGGCGCGCAAAGGUUUGCUCAGGCUGGUUGGAAAUCAGCCGACGAGUGUAAAAGCAGAAGCAAGCUUGACUGUGAGACCUACAAGUCGAACAGGGAGGAAACUCGGCUUUAGUGAUCCGACGGUUCUGAGUGGAAGGGCCGUCGCUCAACGGAUAAAAGUUACUCUAAGGAUAACAGGCUGAUCUCCCCCAAGAGUUCACAUCGACGGGGAGGUUUGGCACCUCGAUGUCGGCUCAUCGCAACCUGGGGCUGAAGUCGGUCCCAAGGGUUGGGCUGUUCGCCCAUUAAAGCGGUACGCGAGCUGGGUUCAGAACGUCGUGAGACAGUUCGGUCCAUAUCCGGUGCAUGCGCAGGAAUAUUGAGAGGAUUUCUCCCUAGUACGAGAGGACCGGGAGGAACGCACCUCUGGUGUACCAGUUAUCGUGCCAACGGUAAACGCUGGGUAGCCAUGUGCGGAGUGGAUAACCGCUGAAAGCAUCUAAGUGGGAAGCCCACCUCAAGAUGAGUAUUCCCAUGGCUUAAGCCAGUAAGGUCACGGGAAGAACACCCGUUGAUAGGCUCUAUGUGGAAGCGCAGUAAUGCGUGAAGCAGAGGAGUACUAAUAGACCGAGGGC